UUCGUUUAGCAACACCAAGAUGAACUUGACUUGGAGCUUGCAUAAACCGCGAACAUGAGAUCGGGUCUUAUUGCUGUCAAAUACAACAAACUACCAAUCAAACUUCUAUAAACAAUUUCUAAACUCCAGAAAGACAUUCUUCUUUUUCUCAAGAUUCUGAAUCUGCUGCUAGCGCUCUUCACAGCCCGUCUUCUUCAGAUUACUCACCCAGAAUUACUCCAAGUCAGGAUGAUUCAGCUGUAAUUAUUCAGAAGAGGAAAUUGGGGAAGAAGGCAAAAAGUUAUGCAUAUAGAAUUCGUGAGCAUGUGAAAUUGGGUUCGAAGUUUUCAGAAACGGUGAAGGGGAAAUUGAAGAUAGUGAAAGAAGGAGGGAGAAGAAAUAUAUUCAGGCAAAUAUAUUUCUUCUCCCUAUCGGAGCUUGCAUAAACCGCGAACAUGAGAUCGGGUCUUGGGUACAAUGGAAUAAAGGUGGCCGGCCCUUCCUAGAGAAACAACUACAGGGACAUGCUUCUUACAACAUUAUAUUGAAUCUAUUCUUGCUUUACAAGAAGCCAGUUGCAGCCUUGCCGGAGGUUA